CGGUAGCUGGAUUCCACCGGGGAGUAAUCCCGAAGCCAGCCAAUGUCCGCUCUGGACCAUCAACCCACCUCUGGG
rnacentral:ncRNA from 1 species